rnacentral:rRNA from 1 species
AUUGCCUCAGUAACGGCGAGUGAAGCGGCAAGAGCUCAAAUUUGAAAGCUGGCUCCUUCGGAGUCCGCAUUGUAAUUUGCAGAGGAUGCUUUGGGUGCGGCCCCCGUCUAAGUGCCCUGGAACGGGCCGUCAGAGAGGGUGAGAAUCCCGUCUUGGGCGGGGUGUCCGUGCCCGUGUAAAGCUCCUUCGACGAGUCGAGUUGUUUGGGAAUGCAGCUCUAAAUGGGUGGUAAAUUUCAUCUAAAGCUAAAUACUGGCCGGAGACCGAUAGCGCACAAGUAGAGUGAUCGAAAGAUGAAAAGCACUUUGAAAAGAGAGUUAAACAGCACGUGAAAUUGUUGAAAGGGAAGCGCUUGCGACCAGACUCGCCCGCGGGGUUCAGCCGGCAUUCGUGCCGGUGUACUUCCCCGUGGGCGGGCCAGCGUCGGUUUGGGCGGCCGGUCAAAGGCCCCUGGAAUGUAGUACCCUCCGGGGUACCUUAUAGCCAGGGGUGCAAUGCGGCCAGCCUGGACCGAGGAACGCGCUUCGGCACGGACGCUGGCAUAAUGGUCGUAAACGACCCGUCU